rnacentral:lncRNA from 1 species
UCCACAAUAAUAUUCCCUUGGCAUCCACCACUACCUACAUUUAUAUAAAAUUUACAUUACGAAAGCUAGGAUAAUUCAAAAACAUUUUUAUAAAAUUUACAUUUGAUAUUUAAACUUAUUCAAUAUGACUAAAGAAUAAAAAAAGAUUGUUUUUAUUUCAAGUGAAAAUCGUAUAAACUUAAACUUGACUAUUUUUGUUUUAAAUUAAAUUUUAUUAACCAACAAUGAGUUGCAAAACGACAAAACAAAUACAAAAUAAUAACCAAACAUUGAAUUCUAUAACAAAUAAAUACAGUUGACUUUAAGUUUAUAAUACCUAUUCACAAGCCAAAAAAAGUGAAUGUGCAAAGAUUAUAUCGCCCAAUCACCUAAGUCAUUCUUUGAGUGAAGUGCAUGUAUCUAUCUCAAUAUCCCAACGGUGACUAAUAUGUGGCCAAAUAGCAUUAUCCACUUCACACCAGAUGAAAAGAUGAUCAGUAGACCUUAAUAGUGUUCGACAAACCGAACACAUAAUUGUUUUCAUAUCAAUACAACAAUAUCCCUAUUGGACAAAUUUAUUCAGGUAGAAACCCGACAAGAGAAACUUUCCAAGACAGAACGUUAACAUUCUUCGUAACAUAUAUAUUCUUCCUAUUGUAACCCAAAACAAGAAUGGAUUUAUAUACAAUUUUUUUUGGAACUUGCCAUGAACUCCCCCACAUGAUCAAGGAACUGAGUCAAUUAUCCGACUCCAAAGAGAUUUUGAGAGACUGUAAAAGAACCAUCAUAGCCAAAAAUUAGACUUCUCCCGCUAUUAGGUAUUCAAGCAACAAACAUACAUAUAAAAGUACAUAUAUAAAUGUAAAAAAAGAAGAGAGAGUUACAUGUUUCACACGAUUAUUGUAAUUGUGCUACAUCUACGUCCAAAUAGAGAUUUAUUAUUGAUAUCGGGAUAAAGUUUGCAAUUGCAUUAUAUAGAGUUAAGGAGGUAUAAAAGAAAC